rnacentral:rRNA from 1 species
CCUACGGGAGGCAGCAGUAGGGAAUCUUCCGCAAUGGACGAAAGUCUGACGGAGCACCGCCGCGUGAGUGAUGAAGGUUUUCGGAUCGUAAAACUCUGUUGUUAGGGAAGAACAAGUUCCGUUCGAAUAGGGCGGUACCUUGACGGUACCUAACCAGAAAGCCACGGCUAACUACGUGCCAGCAGCCGCGGUAAUACGUAGGUGGCAAGCGUUGUCCGGAAUUAUUGGGCGUAAAGCGCGCGCAGGCGGUUUCUUAAGUCUGAUGUGAAAGCCCCCGGCUCAACCGGGGAGGGUCAUUGGAAACUGGGGAACUUGAGUGCAGAAGAGGAGAGUGGAAUUCCACGUGUAGCGGUGAAAUGCGUAGAGAUGUGGAGGAACACCAGUGGCGAAGGCGACUCUCUGGUCUGUAACUGACGCUGAAGCGCGA